AGGAGAGAGACAUAGAGGGAAGAUGGCCAUGUGACAACAGAGGCAGAGACUGGAGUCCUGCGUCUUCAAGAUUCUGAAGGAAACAGACAGCACAACAACAACAGCCUCUCUCAGUCCUCACCCAAAUCUUUCUUCUGAAAUUGGAUGCUGAUGGCCACCAAACACGUUUUUAAAAGACCAGUGCAGUUUGAAGAACAGGUCAGAAAGUCUGCCUUCGCUGAAAACUCAUUCGCUGGGAGUUGCAAUGAGCAGAUAGGACACACCCAGAAUUCGCCUGAAGGGGAGGGCUGCAGCCAGGGCGGAGACCAGAUGUGUGGGCACAAAGAUGUAGGCGAAUAACAUGAACAUUGCUUCAUCUUUGUUCCACAAGUUUCUGAGACAGCACCGGAAACAUGUGGAAUUAACAACGUGGACACCUUAUGUGGCACAGCUGUUACGCUUUGAGGAAAGGCGAUUGCUGGUAAGUUCUUCAGGAAGAAACACCUUCAAAAUGGAAAACAGCUGACAUCAAUUAACUUCUGGCUUUUCUGUAAUUUUGUAUGCUGGCCUAUAAUCGUAAAGUAGCAAACAUUUUCAGGUACUGCAACACAUCACUCCGUCAAAACAUAUUACUCCACAAUGAUACAUACAAACUAUGAACGCAGUCAGAAUGAUUUUAUUGAAAUGUUUUAGUACAGUGUUAGAGGAUCUUAAAAU
rnacentral:lncRNA from 1 species